ACUUUAAAUGUAAUUAUCCAAAGUAUGGUUCCGGAGACAUUGGGAGAUUGAGCACUCCUUCAGAACGAUUCUACGGGGAAAAAAAACAAAAAACAAAAAACAAAAAAACAGUGGCCAGAGACUUGAGCAGGAUGUGUGAAGGGAUUUAAUAAUGGAACUUGUGGCAACAGUAGACUUCAGAGACCAGACUGGCGGCUUGAAGAAAGCUAUUUUCUCGUACCAAAUACAUUCCAUUUCCUAAAGACAGGGUCUCGGUCUGUUACCCAAGCUGAAGAGCAAUGGGAUGAUCAUGGCUCACUGCAGCCUCAGAUUCCUGGGCUCAAGUGAUCCUCCCAUCUCAGCCUCCCAAGUAGCUGGACCUACAGACAUCCACCAUCAUGCCUGGAUGGAAUGUCAGUAUUGCAACUGUGAUGCCUUUAUAUCAUGUGAGAAGAACAAUAGAGUCCUGGGAGGCAAGUGCAGAUGACCCCAAGGUCCUUGUGGACAAGGAAGUAAAAGCUAAGAAGAAAUGGCACGUUUCUUAGGAAACAUUUCAAUAUUGUUAUUUAUACAAGGAUGCAGAGAACAGUACAGCUGGAGAAUUAAAUGGAGAGAUCAGCGCACAGAUGGACUUGCAGAGUGGCAAAUCACUAGAGGGCAAACGUCGCACUGCCUUAGAAAUGGAGUUGGUAUUGGUGAAUUCAACAAGAGGACCAGAAGGAGGAGGAAGAGGGAAGAUUUUAAUGCUGUGCAGUGGUGCUCAGGUCUAGGUCAAGAACAAUGAGUCUCAUAUGAUUGUCUCUUGACUUUGACUAUCACGGUAGGACUUUACUGACAAGCCGGGUAAUAACAGGGAAAUCCUAUUCCUUUUGCCUUCAAAAUUUAUUUUGUCUUUAUUUCACUUGACCUGGUUCAUUUCCUCUAUAGUUUCUUAUUUCAGCAAUAUUUAUUGAACACUAUCAUGAUUAAUCAGGCACACCAGGUGCUGGUGACAGGAACAGUGAACAAAACGGACAAAAAUUCUUGUAAUCAUGGAGCAUGUAUUCUAGUAUGGAGAUAAAAAAUAAGCGAAAUAAGCUAACUCAUACAGUAUGCUGCAAGCUGUAAGCUGUUGUAUGUUGUGGAGAAAAUAAAGCAGGGAAAAAGGAGUCAGAGAAUGGUGGAGGGGGUUGCAGUCAGACUACCUGCUUAGCUGAGUCCUGCACAAGGAUAUUUGGGCAGAGAUAAGUAUGAGCUGACAUCCAGCCAUCUUCUGGUGAGAAGAUGCCUUUUUCUGAGUAAUGACAGGGCUCCAGAAGCCUCAGGUAGUGACCAAAAUGUUAAUCUCUGCCUUUAAAUGGGACACUCUUCAAAAUGUCCUUCUGGCAAUAUUGAGUUCUUAAGCUUUUGAAUGCGUUGGAUAUAAGCUUUUGCCAAGGUUUUAAAAUUUUAUGCUAUAACUUUAAACCUUUUUGUAGAUGAGAAAAUCACAUAUUAUUGAAUUAAAAUCUUAUUCAAGUCUAACAACAUUCCAUCGGUUGUAUUUACUUUGUCUAUAUAGCCUGCUAGACUCUUACAGCAGAGUAGCAAAUGGGUUGAUGAGAUUCUCUUCAGAGAAUCAGAGUCAGGCUGAGCAUUCUUCCAUACGUGGCACUGUUGGUGUUUUUGGACUGAUUAUGUGAAGAGCAAACCCAGCAUCUUCUUGGGACUCCAAGGAAAGUUGCAUAUUCUAUAAUUUAUAGGGCCAUUGCAAUUUUUCUAAUUAAAAACGAAUAUAACUUCUGCCCUUUUCAACCACAGCACAUAUGUUCUGUCUCCCAUUGUUCCCUAGUAAGAGAUAAUGGCCUGGCAGUGUAGACUAAUUUCUUGAGUAUUUUAAUUUGGAAGCCAAUUAGCCCUCCCUAUCUAAAGCACAUUUUGACAUUUUCUUCCCAAGACAAGCCAGUCUUGACUUUCUGCCCCUCUCUUGGUACAGACAGUGCAUGUUACAUGUAUUAA
rnacentral:lncRNA from 10 species